rnacentral:rRNA from 1 species
CGGACGGGUGAGUAAUGUCUGGGAAACUGCCUGAUGGAGGGGGGUAACUACUGGAAACGGUAGCUAUACCGCAUAACGUCGCAAGACCAAAGAGGGGGACCUUAGGGCCUCUUGCCAUCGGAUGUGCCCAGAUGGGAUUAGCUAGUAGGUGGGGUAACGGCUCACCUAGGCGACGAUCCCUAGCUGGUCUGAGAGGAUGACCAGCCACACUGGAACUGAGACACGGUCCAG